rnacentral:rRNA from 1 species
UACAGAGGUCUCAAGCGUUGUUCGGAUUCAUUGGGCGUAAAGGGUGCGUAGGCGGCGCGGUAAGUCGGGUGUGAAAUCUCGGAGCUUAACUCCGAAACUGCAUUCGAUACUGCCGUGCUUGAGGACUGGAGAGGAGACUGGAAUUUACGGUGUAGCGGUGAAAUGCAUAGAUGUCGUAAGGAAGACCAGUGGCGAAGGCGGGUCUCUGGACAGUUCCUGACGCUGAGGCACGAAGGUCAGGGGAGCAAACGGG